UCCGGGGCCGGGUGUAGUUAUCAUGGUUAUUCUGCACUGCAGCCUUGUGCAGGUGAGUUGUUACAACAUCUCCCCCCAACUGGCCCAAGUCUGUUUGUAACAGUAGCUACCGUAGCUCAUUCGGAAGAGUGUCUCAUCCUGGCAGAAGUCUAUUUCCUUCUGUCGAAUUAUUUUAGUAGUGAAGUCAUGAAUUCAGGAGGGCUAGGUGAAUUCUUGGACGAAUGCUACUUUCAGACAUCAGUAGUGGCAGGCGGAAAUGUUUUGUUUGCAUUGCUGCGAAGUAAUAAUUAUUAUUAGUUGCUUAGUGCAGGAGUACGAGUACAUGCACUCAGAGUGCAGAGGACUAAAGGGACCGUCACUUAAUUUUUGCCGACUACCCGCCAAAAAAAUCUUUUCGUUUCACGUGUCAGACACGUCCGCGAGCGCGCGCGUACGACUCGACUCGACUCGCUACCUUUCACGUCACGUCAAGCAAUCUGUUCACGCCACAUGGCUGGAUAGCGCGUACAUGCAAACAUGAUUGUCAGAUUGAAGACUUGCAAAAUUAAUUUUACAAGUCCAGGCGCUAGGCCUAGGCGCACAGAAUGCGUAAUGCUAAUGGCAGCUGACUUUAUUUUCGGAGAAACACUACUCAUUGUAGUAAAAAGUAACAAUGAAUAGCGAUAUCAUCUAGGAAGGAUCGCUACCCUAACGCGAAGGAAAGGCCUUGCGCGGCUGCUCUACGAAGUGUUGAAGAAUGACUCAAAGUUAGUUGGUGGACGAACAACUCGCAGUGGUGCCGGAAAACUUGGCCCCCAACGAUGGUGUUUGGUGAAUCAUCAAGCAUAAUGUCUUGUAGCAGUGUUCACCGAGGAAGGAGAACGCUCUAGCCGCUGCUGUUGUCCGUUUCAUCCACGUUGGGCGUUAGCUGCACCGCGCCUAUUGUGUUUUAGUAUUCCAUGGACACACAUUAGCAUUCAGAGCGAUUGUGGAGCCACAAUUUACUUCACACAGCGUUGUAUUGUCCACGAGCGCAAACUUCAUUAUCAGCAGUAACUGUUACUCUUCAUCCUACGUGUAGAUUUGGAGUAUACACGGCCUUGUCACGACAGCGACAGCUCUACAGAGUGUUCAAGUGCGAAAUAUUAAUUUCAAUUGUUGGUGGACGAAUAAAUGGCUGGUUCCGAAAAACGCGGCCUGCACCGAUGGUGUUUGGUGGAUCAUCAAACGGGGUGACCAGCAGUGUUCACCGAGGAAGGAGAAUGCACUCACCACCACUGUCGUCUGAUUCAUCCAAGUGGGCGUUAGCUGCGCUGCGCCUAUUGUGUUUUAGUAUUCCAUGGACGCACACUAGCGUUCUCAGCGGUUGUGGAGCCACAACAUAUCUUCAUGCGGCGUUGCACUGUCCAAGAGCAGAAACGUCAGCAGUGGCCCAUCAUCAUACAUGUAGAUUUGGAGUAUACACACCAUGCGCCAAUGGGCCUUGGCACAACAGCGGCAGCUCUACGGAGUGUUCAAGUGAGAAACAUUUGUUUCGACUUGGUGGACGAACAAAUCGUCGGUGCCGAAAAACGUGGCCUGCGCCGAUGGUGCUUGAAACAUCAAGCAUGGUAUAUGGUGACUGUUAGUGUUCAUCGAGGAAGGAGAACACUCAGGCCGUCGACCAUUCAUCCAUUUCGUUAGCUGCACUAAGUCUGUUGUGUCCUUGUAUUCCAUGGGCACACACUCAUGAAGCAUGGCGUCUGAGCUGUGUUCACAGAGCGGGGAGAUGCUCUUGCUGCUAUCUUAUCUGUCCUGUGUAUUCCCAAGUGCCGAAGGCUCACAACAAUGGUGUUGGACAAGUCAGAUAAAAUAGAGUCAACAUCAUCACAUGGUGCUGUGACCAAGAUACGGAUCAUGACGAACGCUGAUUCAACUGGACGAAUCGCAACCUGACGACGAAGAAUCGCGAGGCUUUUCAGAUGCAGGGACACAAUGGAAACUGAACGACUUCAGAACAGCACUGAAGCGUUAUGUUAUCAUGCAAGACGCCUUUCUGCGCCGCACAAACACAGGCGGUACUACAGCAGAAGAUGUCACUCACUAUUCUGCAGGUGCACUGGUAACAGGCGCAUGCAAGUUCACGUGAAGGAAGCGGUCUGAUGGUAACUGGAAUGCCAGCAGUAUGAGAGGGUGUGCAUUCUGCGGCGGAUCUCACCUGGACAAGAGCUGCACGAAAUACACAACAGUAGCACAGUGGAAAGAAUAACUGAUUGAACAGAAGCGUUGCUUUGUGUGUUUGCGCACAGGGCACCGGUCAACUCAGUGCAAGGCCACCCGCAAGUGUAAUGUGUGUUCUCGCAUGGGUCACCAAUCAGAGUCACCAUCAUGUCACGAUCUGCCCUGAAUCUCAACAGAAAUCUGACAGCAGGACCAACAUAGUAGCUGAUCAGCCUUUGGCUGACGAGGUACCAGCAUCUGGCGCAACAGCAGCUAGUGCAGCAUCAACCAGUAUCGCCAUUGACUGUAAGAUAGUCAGUCAUCUUGAUCGGUGCAGAUUUCCUCUGGGAAUUUAUGACGGGGAGCACCAGAGGACUUCCGCCAGGACUACAGUUUCUACCUACCACAGUCGGUUUUGUGGUGACUGGCCGAACACGUCACUCCAAGCACUCAGCUAUGCCGAUGAGCAGCCAUGCCAGCUAUCGUUUCUCUAACUGAUGCAACUUCCGACUCCUGCACCAUCCCAGAUCUGUGGGACCUAGACUGAGUUGACAUCCAGGAUUCAGGCAAUCUUACUAACAACGACCUAGCCAUUAGGCAAUUCAUCAUUGUUCUACGAUUUUGCUUGCCACCAAUCGUCAUGACCUGCGAUACUGAGAAGGCCAUUUUACAAAUCAGUGCCAACCCAGCAUACAGAGAUGCGACACGAUUUCUGUGGUUCGCCAACUCCGACAGUCCAUCAGUCACCCCAUCCAGCCUGUUCACGCUCAUAAGCAGUCCAUUUCUGCUUGGCGCGUCUAUACUGCAUCAUUUGGCACAGCAAGAUGACAAAACAGCUAGCAGUGGCUAUUGGUGAGAACAUUUUCUGCUGUGCCAUUGGAGUGUGCACGAUACACGAACCCUGCUCUUUUGUUGGCACCGCCUCUGUAACUUACUGCAUAGGGUGCAAGGUGACCGUUGUCGGUUUACAUGUACUCCAGUUAUUACACCGUGCAUGCACUGAGUCUGUGCUGUACAGUACAGUACUGUGCAUCCAUAGGUGUCCGUUUGCGGUAGCGCAAGGUGACACGCAAGGUUGGUGUAUUGUGUUGUCCGCUGCUAUUCGAAGCUCUCGGAGUCGGAAGCGUUACCUCCGUUUCCCCUGUUCCUCCCUGCGCGGAGUCUGUAGUUCUGGCUUGCAGUCGCUGUUACAUGCAUGUUGGCAGUUGCAUGUGUUCUGGUUUUCAGUUGUCUUUAGGCCACACUGAAGAAGGUCUGUGGUUCGACUCACCCGACCGACCGUACAUUUUUCAGCCCGACCGUAACUUUUUUUCGGCGGGCUGUCGUGUGACUGACGUACGUGGACUGAACACGUCCACGUCUACGUCUACGUGCUGUGCAGCGUGAGUCUGCGGACGCAGGCGGCUCCUUUUGGACUUGACUUGUAGUUCUCGUACUGCAGUGCAGUGCAGUGAGUGGUACGACUGCUGCCUUGUGCUGGUAGUAGAGUCUACUCGAUACGACCACCGGCAGACUGGCGAGACUUAUUUUGAAGUGACCGUCCGGUUGAGAGUGAUUGCCUCGUUCCAGAUUAAGGACGGCCUUCUGUUUUGGGAUGAAGGACAGACGAGAUUGCACUUUCCUCGUGUAUUGGGAACGAUAUUUCACCUGUACCGGUAAGUUGCUGCUCCAUGUGUGCAAGCACAGGAAGCGUCGAUGGAAAAAGCCCAUGUAUUCGUGCACGCCGACACCAAACUAGCAAUACAUGUACCGGUACAUUGUACAAUUUGUACUUCGAAGUAGUUCCCGAACUUACUUUCAACUCGCAUCGUUCUUCAUUUGCUUGAUGAUUUGGACAGUCAGAGUCACCGCUUGAAGUUAUUCUCUUCUCGUUCCAGAGCUACACAAUGUUUCAAAGUAUUAGCCAGUGAUCCCUUUAUACAACAUGUAUGGCAUAACACUGCGUAAUAAUGCCGAUGUACUGGUACAUGGGUGUCUAAAGGCAGUACGGUGUAUUUACAUGUACUAAAAAAUAUAUUUAAAAAAAAAAAUCCGCCCGCCCGCCCGUAAAAAAAAUGUCCAUGUUAGUCGAACCACACACCUUCUUUAGUUUGGCCUUAUAAAUUUUGUUUUGUGUGGACGACAGUUCAAUAUUCUAGCAGUUGUUGCACGUCCUACAUUCCGUAGUUAUCUGCGGUUGGUGUUCGAGAGAGCAAACUGUGUUCUUCUCCAGAGUGGAGUAAACCA